UGAACUCCAGAAGGUGGCCUGACAGAAAUCUCAGAGAGAUAUGAUCAAUGUGUUUGUCCUAUAUGAGUAAAAUCUUUGAGGACUUCUCAAGUCGAAUGACCUAAGACUAACCAAUUCUAAGAAAUCUGAGAGGAGUAUGACCUUUGGGAAACUGGUCCUAGAAUGAACAACAUACAGAUUUAGGCAUCCAUGAAUGUAAAUCAUACGUUCCCGAAGGCCCUGGAGCGCAAGCAGAAUUCACCUGGUAAAUACUGCUAAAUGUUUUCAGGGCCCUUCCAUCCAGCUGGGGUGAGAAUUCACCAUCUGCUUUGAAACCAGGAACUGACUUCAGUUGCAACAUAUUUUGGAGAAGUUCAAGCUUGAAAGUACUCAUAAGAACAGCGGAGACUGUGGUAGAAGCCAACUGAGAAAAAAUAUGGUCUAAAUUGAACCUUCUUAUUCACCUGAUCUACUGAAGAAAAUGAGUAAAAUCUGCACAUGAGAUUACUUUGGUUGGGUCCAAGAGAUAAACAGAUGUUCCUGCCAGACAAUUCACUCUGCAUUAACAUAAAGCCAGUGGAUAAAGAAAAAUGAUAUGUUUCAUUAAGUUGUGGUAGCCUGCUCUUGUAUUCAUCAAUUUAUACUUUACUAAAAAUGUCUGUUGGCUAAUGUGUAGAGAUGAUCAUAAUAAAUGUUAAUCGCUU